AUUGAACGCUGGCGGCAGGCCUAACACAUGCAAGUCGAACGGUAACAGGAAGAAGCUUGCUUCUUUGCUGACGAGUGGCGGACGGGUGAGUAAUGUCUGGGAAACUGCCUGAUGGAGGGGGAUAACUACUGGAAACGGUAGCUAAUACCGCAUAACGUCGCAAGACCAAAGAGGGGGACCUUCGGGCCUCUUGCCGUCGGAUGUGCCCAGAUGGGAUUAGCUAGUAGGUGGGGUAACGGCUCACCUAGGCGACGAUCCCUAGCUGGUCUGAGAGGAUGACCAGCCACACUGGAACUGAGACACGGUCCAGACUCCUACGGGAGGCAGCAGUGGGGAAUAUUGCACAAUGGGCGCAAGCCUGAUGCAGCCAUGCCGCGUGUAUGAAGAAGGCCUUCGGGUUGUAAAGUACUUUCAGCGGGGAGGAAGGGAGUAAAGUUAAUACCUUUGCUCAUUGACGUUACCCGCAGAAGAAGCACCGGCUAACUCCGUG
rnacentral:rRNA from 1 species